rnacentral:rRNA from 1 species
AGAGAGAGACAUGCGCGCAUAUCAAUAAGCGGAGGAAAAGAAACUAACUAGGAUUCCCUUAGUAACGGCGAGUGAAGCGGGAAGAGCUCAAAUUUGAAAUCUUCAAGGUUUUACCUUGACGAAUUGUAGUUUAAAGAAGUGUUUUCUGCUGGAGUUUUGGUAAAAGUUCUUUGGAAUAGGACAUCAUAGAGGGUGAGAAUCCCGUAUUUGACCAUUAUUUUCAGCUUUGUGAUACACUUUCAAAGAGUCGGAUUGUUUGGGAAUGCAGUCCAAAAUGGGUGGUAAAUUUCAUCUAAAGCUAAAUAUUGGCGAGAGACCGAUAGCGAACAAGUACCGUGAGGGAAAGAUGAAAAGAACUUUGAAAAGAGAGUUAAACAGUACGUGAAAUUGUCAAAAGGGAAGCGUUUGACACCAGUGUUGUUUUCCUCGAAAAUCAAUUAAAAAUGGCUCGAUUUUGUAUUGCUUGAGACCUUAAAAGCUCACUGUACAUUUUUCGUGUCUUUUUUAAUGCACUUUUCGUUUAACAAGUCAACAUCAGUUUCUUUUGUUGUAAAAGGGUCAUUGGAAGGUGGCUUUCUUUUCGGAGAAAGUGUUUAUAGCCUUUGGCCUCUGCAAUCGGAGAGACUGAGGUCUGCAGCGUAGACUCUUCGGGGUUAGAUACAUUUGUGCUAAGUUAUAGCUUUUUAUAGACAACUUGUUGACUAUAAUUAGUCUUGUAGCUUACUCGCUUAUGCUAUUUUACCUACGCUUAGGAUGUUGAAGAUGUAGCACAUAU